AUACGGAGGGUGCAAGCGUUAUUCGGAAUCACUGGGCGUAAAGGACGCGUAGGCGGGUUGGCAAGUCAGAUGUGAAAUCCUACAGCUUAACUGUAGAACUGCAUUUGAAACUGCUAACCUAGAGUAUGGGAGGGGGAGAUGGAAUUAGUGGUGUAGGGGUAAAAUCCGUAGAUAUCACUAGGAAUACCGAAAGCGAAGGCGAUCUCCUGGAACAUAACUGACGCUAAGGCGUGAAAGCGUGGGGAGCAAACAGGAAUAGAAACCCUUGUAGUCC
rnacentral:rRNA from 1 species